CACACACACACACACACACAGUCUCAUUACUGCUCAACCUGACAGCUGAAUAGCAUUACUUUAACAAAUACCCUCUACUACAGAUAUUGCCUCCCUUAUGAAGCCGUAGUCAUCAUGUUAUCUGGCCCAUCAUUAUGUCAACACUGCAUUACUAUGUUAUCUGACAACAUGCAAUUAUUCCUUCCAAUCAGCCUGGCAAUUUCUACCACUGGUAGUUUUAGCCAUGUGAUAAAAGAUAAGCCUUGGCUAUCUGUAAAGCACGGCUAGCAUGCAUAAGCAGUUAGCAUACAAGCUCUUGUGGUACAGCAGGAAAUCCAUGUGAUGCAUUUUGAUGUGUGUGUUGUAUAAACAUUGACUUCCCAGCCAAUGCACACGCUGUGGUCACCAGCUGGUCCUGUAACCUUGUUGUACUUCUUGAGUUAUGGCGGUAUUGGGGAUCGUAGUUGAAUGCAGAAAAUCUAUAACUUCCAGGCAUUUACAGUGACAAUAUUGCUGCAUAUCAUAUCCCAGUGUUAUCCUCUAUGUUGAUUUGACCGUGGCGGCCCCCCACAUCAACAUUUUUCUGCCCCCCACAGUAUCAAAUAGGGCUGCAUUGUUAGAGUGCAUGUCGGAGAAUAGCGCAGUCACUCGGCAGAAAAAGGGAGAAAGGAAAAAGAGACGCUCUCCGGAUAAUAAGCCAGUUAAGAUCGUGUGUGUACGUCCUUGAGAACUGUAAGUCGUAUAACUUAUGUUGUCAGUUCAGUGUUCGGACCUGCCCCCACUGCAAAAAAAAAAAAAUCCUAAAGCAAACAUUGUAUCCCCAAAUGUGCACUUGUCGUAUCUAAUGAACGCUACCCCAUGGCCAGCAGCUCUUUACACUUUGGCAUUGCUUCCAAACAAUCAAUAUUUAACUUAAUGGUGCCUGAGUUUAUUGUGUAAGUGUAAUGGCUUUAAAAAGGUCACAAUCAAUAGUUGACAACACUCUAAUGCCUGUGCAAUGAAAAAAAUAUUGUGUACGUGUUCCCAAUUCAUCUACAGUUAACACUAUGAAACUGUAAAAAAAAAUAAAAAUAAAUAAGAGCCAUGUCAACAAUUCAAUUUGUCCAGCUUUCAAAAGUGCAAAAAAGACAAAUUCAGUUUGGCUUUACAGCAAUCUUAUUCCUAACUUCAACUGAGUUGCCCUGCACACAAAAAAGCGACAGUAACAGGUCUGACACCAGCAACGCAGCUAAUUACACAACAGGAAACCACAUCACAGGGAACGCCUUAACUCAGCCAAGAGUGACAAAACUAGUUUAGAAAGCAUUACGCAGGCAGGUGUGUUUCUAUAUUGACAUGAGCAGGCUUCUGGGCUUUCCCGAAGAAGAAAGAAAAUGAGUAAUUUCAACAACCAAAUAUCUGUUAUGCUAUAGUACCACCAUAUCAAUACAGUAUAGGGAGACUGCUGGGAUGUCAAAUGCCUUUAGAACAUUGGACCAAAUGCACCUAUGUGCAUCCGCCUUAUUCUAUUAUUUUCAUAGACAUAAUUGUGAAAAAGUGGAAUUAUCUCCAAUCACUUAUUUUUCUUCCGUUAGUUUCAUUAAUUAAAGAUGUGCUAUAUGAUUAAAAUAUUAAUAAACACAGAUUUGAACAGACUGUGCUGAAAGCCGCCCAAAGCUGGACAACAAUACGAAGAGGAAACAUUGUUAUUUCUAUAGCCAACAUCUUGAAUCAAGGUCGCCAUGUAAUUGCCUCUGACAAAUGUCAAAGCCAUUACAUAAUCUCCUGAGCGGUAUCAUUGUGAGCAUAUGGCUCUAACAAAAAGCACACUGCACUUGAGCAGUGAGAGCCUCCAGCUUAACUACUAGGCCUAUAUGGCACGAAUACUAAUACAGAAUCCAGGUCUGCUCUUUCCAAUCUGAUUCAUUGUCAAACAAUAUUUCUCAGUACCUUUAGGUUUAAAAUCAUUAAAGGCAUACAGUAUCUUGCUUUCAUUAGGAUUUGUAAAGUACAUUUUCUUUGCAACUAAAGGACAAGCCAUUUGCUUUUCUUAAUAGAAGUUAGAAACAAAUUCUCCUCAAAACGAAUAGCCACAUUACUACCCAUAAUUCAACAAACUACAGUAUGUGUACUAGGAAUAAGUACCAUUAUAUAAUUCUCAGUCUUUUAUAGGCUAAUUAUGGUAAGAACCAGGGCAAUGAGCCAAGCAUCAAGGGGAUAGAGGAAAGAGGAGGGAUGAUUCACCAUUUCUGGUUUGUCCAAUGACAUGUUCUUCACAUCAGCCACCUUUAGAAACUUCUGCAAGAAAAGCAACUGUAUGCCAGCUUCAAACGAUUUCAUUCCCAACCCCAAGGUAACGACAGUCUGGUGUAUAACUACAUAUUUAUCAAAUGAAAACUGUGUGGAUCUUUAGAACGUCUGUGGUUUUCUUCUUCAGGGAUGAAGCCAUAUGCGAGUAUCUUGUCCAAAUAGUUAUUUCUUCAAUACAAGCCAAAACACAGAGCACUUCUGUUUGGCAACAGACCAAAUAUUCCUGUUAACAUGGAUAUAUCUAAACCAACAAUUUGGGAGCAAAACAAACUGUUUUUUCCUUAAUGGUGAUGUCUAUCUAUACUAUAUCUGUAACUGUGCUCUGGCAUCAAAACAUGCUGUGACUCAUUCCGUGGAAGAGGGGCAAAGGUUAUAGUGUGUGUGUGUGUGUGUGUGUGUGUGUGUGUGUGUGUGUGUGUUUGUAUGUGUGUGUGCAUAUAUUGGCUACAUUUCACAAGAGUGUAAUGUCAGUCGCUUUAAACAGCCAGCUGAGGGUUGGCCCAGAAUUGAAGCCAUCUAUUUUGCUGCUGGUGAGAGAGAGAAAAAACAGGAGAAGCGAGGCAAGAAAGAGGAGCGAGACACACAAUCAGAGGAAGAUAAAUGGGGGUAGAGAGAGAGAGAUGAUGGGAUUGGCAUACAGAUAAGAAGCAGGAGAGAAAGGAGAGAGAUGGCAGAUGACGAAACAGAGAUGAAAGAGCAGGAAGCCAGGGCAGAAAGCAAGGCGGAUGGUGUCUGGGUAUUGUUCUGAGUCUGGCCAGCUGGCUCUUAAAAACACUGUUCUACGUGUGGAGAACAGUCAUUAUGUCUUAUAACUACCUGUCAUUCUUUUGUCAGCAUCUAUCCCCUAUUUUCCACAUCAUUAGCCUCCUGCUUUCCUUUUUUCCUCUUUGUCCCUUUUUCUCUGUGUUAAAAAAUGAAUGAAGCGCCAACAUAACACGAGAUGACAGAGCUUCCAUUCACUCAAAUCCACCUACACUGCACAGAUGGAGACUUUUAAUAAACACAAGUGCCCCCACAUUGAA